AAGACAUGAAACAAGUCCAAGUUGUUUUGGCGAGGAGGCAGUGUGUAUCACCAGACACUGACUAGAAGCCAGUCCAUUAAUUUUUUGUUUUGUUUAUUUUUGGAAAGGUAUGAAGCUGAUUUGGAGAAUAUGCCAAGUCAUCUGGAUGAGUCAGCACAGGCACCACAAAGGCCCGCAGUUAAAAGCUUUAGGGCUAGGACUUGGAGGAUGUGGAGGCAAAAGGGAAGGAGAGCCGGGGGAAGAAAAACCGAAAUGGAUUCAUUCUGUGUCCUUGGCUGGAGGAGGAGAAGAGAGGAGAGAAGAAGAGGAGAAGGGGACGUGCGAGCUUCUGUUCGGCUGCCUCUGUCCGCUGGAAAGUGCCCGGCGCCCCCGGGGCUGCGCGGGGCCGGGGGGAACUCUGCGCGGAUUUUGCGCUGGGAACCUGCCAAUCAAGGCGCUAACGAGCCGCCGCCACCCCGCGCUGGCACCCACCCGUUCUCACACACUGGCGAGAUGCUACAGCCCCCACGUGACAGAGGUCAGAGGGAAGCACUUAUUUGAAGAAAUCGUUGUCACUAUCUGUAUUACAGCCCACACACCCUCAAGCCUUGGCUGGAUGGGGGAGAUCUCGACCACAGCCAGGACCUCGGACAUUAAAGGCUUUGAAAAAGCAACAGUCCCAGUUUAA
rnacentral:lncRNA from 1 species